rnacentral:misc_RNA from 1 species
CGGCGAGCGGGAGAACCGCUCAGGAAUCGUUCAGGA